rnacentral:rRNA from 1 species
CCUACGGGGGGCUGCAGUGGGGAAUAUUGCACAAUGGGCGCAAGCCUGAUGCAGCCAUGCCGCGUGUGUGAAGAAGGCCUUCGGGUUGUAAAGCACUUUCAGCGGGGAGGAAGGCGUUAAGGUUAAUAACCUUGUCGAUUGACGUUACCCGCAGAAGAAGCACCGGCUAACUCCGUGCCAGCAGCCGCGGUAAUACGGAGGGUGCAAGCGUUAAUCGGAAUUACUGGGCGUAAAGCGCACGCAGGCGGUCUGUCAAGUCGGAUGUGAAAUCCCCGGGCUCAACCUGGGAACUGCAUUCGAAACUGGCAGGCUAGAGUCUUGUAGAGGGGGGUAGAAUUCCAGGUGUAGCGGUGAAAUGCGUAGAGGUCUGGAGGAAUACCGGUGGCGAAGGCGGCCCCCUGGACAAAGACUGGCGCUCAGGUGCGAAAGCGUGGGGAGCAAACAGGAUUAGAUACCCCAGUAGUC